rnacentral:lncRNA from 1 species
UCGAGGUCCAAGAGCGGCUGUAUUUGGGGACUGCUGUUCGUGAGGGACCAUUAGAGGUAUUGCAUUUUGGAAAACGGCUGGCUUCCGCACCGUGGACACCUAAAGCCGACGCCGCUCUACCCAAACGCAGAAAUCACUUCACCUCUCCACUGCGUGAGCCACCGCGCCUGGCCUCUUGUCUAAGUCUUAACCUCUGUGUGUUUCCUCCCUGUACCAUGUCAGAACUAGACGGUGUCUUUGUUCCACAAAACUGCUCCCAACCCGCGAACCGGAGAUUGCAUCUGCCUCUGGGUCUGAGUGCCAUUGGUAGAUCUGCAGUAUAAUACAAGAGAUCUUAUGGGCCAAAGUCUGGGGUAUUUUCUGUAGUAGCUGUGAAAUACUGCUGGUCCUAUGUCCUAGGCAAGGCCCUCAAAUGCCCCUAGCGAGACUGCCUUCCAACCAAAAGGAAUUGUUUGCUAGGCCACGUUUCUGUUGUCUUGGCAGACAGAAGCCCAGUAACAAGUCCCUAAAGAUAAAAUAGCAUCAGAAAUCCUUCCUAGGAUCGGAUGCGCAUCUCCUAUAGAUGCUGUUCUGAGAUCUUCAGGCAGCCACUAGUGAUAGGGUAAGAUAAAAGGCAGACAGGAGGCCGGAC